CCCAGACUCCUACGGGAGGCAGCAGUGGGGAAUAUUGGGCAAUGGGCGCAAGCCUGACCCAGCAACGCCGCGUGAAGGAAGAAGGCUUUCGGGUUGUAAACUUCUUUUGUCAGGGACGAAGCAAGUGACGGUACCUGACGAAUAAGCCACGGCUAACUACGUGCCAGCAGCCGCGGUAAUACGUAGGGGGCAAGCGUUAUCCGGAUUUACUGGGUGUAGAGGGAGCGUAGGUGGCAUGGUAAGCCAGAAGUGAAAACCCAGGGCUCAACUCUGUGGAUUGCUUUUGGAACUAUCAAGCUAGAGUGCUGGAGGGGUAAGCGGAAUUCCUAGUGUAGCGGUGAAAUGCGUAGAUAUUAGGAGGAACACCGGUGGCGAAGGCGGCUUACUGGACAGAAACUGACACUGAGGCUCGAAAGCGUGGGGAGCAAACAGGAUUAGAUACCCUAGUA
rnacentral:rRNA from 1 species